rnacentral:rRNA from 1 species
AGGAUGAACGCUGGCGGCGUGCCUAACACAUGCAAGUCGAACGUCCUGUCUCGCAAGAGGCAGGGAGUGGCGGACGGGUGAGUACCACGUGGGUCAUCUACCGUGAGGUGAGGAAUACCGGCGAGAAAUCGCCGACAAGACCGCAUAGGCUCGAUGCAAGUCGAGCAAAGCUCUUUCGAGAGAGGGAGCGCCACACGAGGAGCCUGCGCCCGAUUAGCUAGCUGGUGGAGUAACGGUUCACCAGGGCGACGAUCGGUAGCUGGUCUGAGAGGACGAUCAGCCACACUGGGAUUGAGAACGGCCCAGACUCCUACGGGGGGCAGCAGUGAGGAAUUUUCGUCAAUGGGGGCAACCCUGAACGAGCAACGCCGCGUGCAGGAAGAAGGUUUUCGGAUCGUAAACUGCUUUUCUCGGGGAAGAGAACGGACGGUACCCGAGGAAUCGAGCCCCGGCUAACUACGUGCCAGCAGCCGC